GACGAACGCUGGCGGCGUGCUUAACACAUGCAAGUCGAACGGAAAGGCCCUGCUUUUGUGGGGUGCUCGAGUGGCGAACGGGUGAGUAACACGUGAGUAACCUGCCCUUGACUUUGGGAUAACUUCAGGAAACUGGGGCUAAUACCGGAUAGGAGCUCCUGCUGCAUGGUGGGGGUUGGAAAGUUUCGGCGGUUGGGGAUGGACUCGCGGCUUAUCAGCUUGUUGGUGGGGUAGUGGCUUACCAAGGCUUUGACGGGUAGCCGGCCUGAGAGGGUGACCGGCCACAUUGGGACUGAGAUACGGCCCAGACUCCUACGGGAGGCAGCAGUGGGGAAUAUUGCACAAUGGGCGGAAGCCUGAUGCAGCAACGCCGCGUGCGGGAUGACGGCCCUCGGGUUGUAAACCGCUUUCGCCUGUGACGAAGCGUGAGUGACGGUAAUGGGUAAAGAAGCACCGGCUAACUACGUGC
rnacentral:rRNA from 1 species